rnacentral:rRNA from 1 species
GACGAACGCUGGCGGCGUGCUUAACACAUGCAAGUCGAACGGAAAGGCCCUGCUUUUGUGGGGUGCUCGAGUGGCGAACGGGUGAGUAACACGUGAGUAACCUGCCCUUGACUUUGGGAUAACUUCAGUAAACUGGGGCUAAUACCGGAUAGGAGCUCCUGCUGCAUGGUGGGGGUUGGAAAGUUUCGGCGGUUGGGGAUGGACUCGCGGCUUAUCAGCUUGUUGGUGGGGUAGUGGCUUACCAAGGCUUUGACGGGUAGCCGGCCUGAGAGGGUGACCGGCCACAUUGGGACUGAGAUACGGCCCAGACUCCUACGGGAGGAAGCAGUGGGGAAUAGUGCACAAUGGGCGGAAGCCUGAUGCAGCAACGCCGCGUGCGGGAUGACGGCCUUCGGGUUGUAAACCGCUUUCGCCUGUGACGAAGCGUGAGUGACGGUAAUGGGUAAAGAAGCACCGGCUAACUACGUG